UGGGGAAUUUUGGACAAUGGGCGCAAGCCUGAUCCAGCAAUGCCGUGUGCAGGAUGAAGGCCUUCGGGUUGUAAACUGCUUUUGUACGGAACGAAACGGCUCUGGUUAAUACCUGGGGCUAAUGACGGUACCGUAAGAAUAAGCACCGGCUAACUACGUGCCAGCAGCCGCGGUAACACGUAGGGUGCAAGCGUUAAUCGGAAUUACUGGGCGUAAAGCGUGCGCAGGCGGUUUUGUAAGACAGUGGUGAAAUCCCCGGGCUCAACCUGGGAACUGCCAUUGUGACUGCAAAGCUAGAGUGCGGCAGAGGGGGAUGGAAUUCCGCGUGUAGCAGUGAAAUGCGUAGAUAUGCGGAGGAACACCGAUGGCGAAGGCAAUCCCCUGGGCCUGCACUGACGCUCAUGCACGAAAGCGUGGGGAGCAAACA
rnacentral:rRNA from 1 species